CGAGCGAAGCGGGAAGAGCUCAAAUUUAUAAUCUGGCACCUUCGGUGUCCGAGUUGUAAUCUCUAGAAGUGUUUUCCGCGUUGGACCGCACACAAGUCUGUUGGAAUACAGCGGCAUAGUGGUGAAACCCCCGUAUAUGGUGCGGACGCCCAGCGCUUUGUGAUACACUUUCAAUGAGUCGAGUUGUUUGGGAAUGCAGCUCAAAUUGGGUGGUAAAUUCCAUCUAAAGCUAAAUAUUGGCGAGAGACCGAUAGCGAACAAGUACCGUGAGGGAAAGAUGAAAAGCACUUUGGAAAGAGAGUUAACAGUACGUGAAAUUGUUGGAAGGGAAACGCUUGAAGUCAGACUUGCUUGCCGGAGCUUGCUUCGGUUUGCAGGCCAGCAUCAGUUUUCCGGGGUGGAUAAUGACGGUUUGAAGGUAGCAGUCUCGGCUGUGUUAUAGCUUUCCGUUGGAUACGCCCUGGGGGACUGAGGAACGCAGCGUGCUUUUUGCGAAAGACUCGUCUUUUUCACGCUUAGGAUGCUGGUGGAAUGGCUUUAAACGACCCGUCUUGAA
rnacentral:rRNA from 1 species